GGCGGCGUGCUUAACACAUGCAAGUCGAGCGGAAAGGCCCUUCGGGGGUACUCGAGCGGCGAACGGGUGAGUAACACGUGAGUAACCUGCCCCUGACUCUGGGAUAAGCCCGGGAAACUGGGUCUAAUACCGGAUAUGACACACUUUUGCAUGAUGGUGUGUGGAAAGUUUUUCGGCUGGGGAUGGGCUCGCGGCCUAUCAGCUUGUUGGUGGGGUGAUGGCCUACCAAGGCGACGACGGGUAGCCGGCCUGAGAGGGCGACCGGCCACACUGGGACUGAGACACGGCCCAGACUCCUACGGGAGGCAGCAGUGGGGAAUAUUGCGCAAUGGGCGGAAGCCUGACGCAGCGACGCCGCGUGGGGGAUGAAGGCCUUCGGGUUGUAAACCUCUUUCACCACCGACGAAGCUAACGUGACGGUAGGUGGGGAAGAAGCGCCGGCUAACUACGUGCCAGCAGCCGCGGUAAUACGUAGGGCGCAAGCGUUGUCCGGAAUUAUUGGGCGUAAAGAGCUCGUAGGCGGUCUGUCGCGUCUGCCGUGAAAACCCGAGGCUUAACCUCGGGCCUGCGGUGGAUACGGGCAGACUAGAGGUAGGUAGGGGAGAAUGGAAUUCCCGGUGUAGCGGUGAAAUGCGCAGAUAUCGGGAGGAACACCGGUGGCGAAGGCGGUUCUUUGGGCCUUACCCUGACGCUGAGGAGCGAAAGCGUGGGGAGCGAACAGGAUUAGAUACCCUGGUAGUCCACGCCGUAAACGUUGGGCGCUAGGUGUGGGGUUCUUCCACGGAUUCCGCGCCGUAGCUAACGCAUUAAGCGCCCCGCCUGGGGAGUACGGCCGC
rnacentral:rRNA from 1 species